AGUGAACGCUGGCGGUAGGCCUAACACAUGCAAGUCGAACGGCAGCACAGUAAGAGCUUGCCCUUACGGGUGGCGAGUGGCGGACGGGUGAGGAAUACAUCGGAAUCUACUUUUUCGUGGGGGAUAACGUAGGGAAACUUACGCUAAUACCGCAUACGACCUACGGGUGAAAGCAGGGGAUCUUCGGACCUUGCGCGAUUGAAUGAGCCGAUGUCGGAUUAGCUAGUUGGCGGGGUAAAGGCCCACCAAGGCGACGAUCCGUAGCUGGUCUGAGAGGAUGAUCGGCCACACUGCAACUGGAACACGGUCCAGACUCCUACGGGAGGCCGCCGUGGGGUAUAUUGGGCAAUGGGCGCAAGCCUGAUCCAGCCAUGCCGCGUGGGUGAAGAAGGCCUUCGGGUUGUAAAGCCCUUUUGUUGGGAAAGAAAAGCAGCAGGUUAAUACCCCGCUGUUCUGACGGUACCCAAAGAAUAAGCACCGGCUAACUUCGUG
rnacentral:rRNA from 1 species